rnacentral:rRNA from 1 species
UACGUAGGGUGCGAGCGUUUGUCCGGAAUUAUUGGGCGUAAAGAGCUUGUAGGCGGUUUGUCGCGUCUGCUGUGAAAAUCCGGGGCUCAACCCCGGACUUGCAGUGGGUACGGGCAGACUAGAGUGCGGUAGGGGAGACUGGAAUUCCUGGUGUAGCGGUGAAAUGCGCAGAUAUCAGGAGGAACACCGGUGGCGAAGGCGGGUCUCUGGGCCGAUAUUGACGCUGAGGAGCGAAAGCGUGGGGAGCGAACAGG